AAUUCGCCCUUAGAGUUUGAUCAUGGCUCAGAUUGAACGCUGGCGGCAGGCCUAACACAUGCAAGUCGAGCGGCAGCACAAGGGAGUUUACUCCUGAGGUGGCGAGCGGCGGACGGGUGAGUAAUGCCUAGGGAUCUGCCCAGUCGAGGGGGAUAACAGUUGGAAACGACUGCUAAUACCGCAUACGCCCUACGGGGGAAAGAGGGGGACUUUCGGGCCUCUCGCGAUUGGAUGAACCUAGGUGGGAUUAGCUAGUUGGUGAGGUAAUGGCUCACCAAGGCGACGAUCCCUAGCUGUUCUGAGAGGAUGAUCAGCCACACUGGGACUGAGACACGGCCCAGACUCCUACGGGAGGCAGCAGUGGGGAAUAUUGCACAAUGGGGGAAACCCUGAUGCAGCCAUGCCGCGUGUGUGAAGAAGGCCUUCGGGUUGUAAAGCACUUUCAGUAGGGAGGAAAGGUUGUAAGUUAAUACCUUGCAGCUGUGACGUUACCUACAGAAGAAGGACCGGCUAACUCCGUGCCAGCAGCCGCGGUAAUACGGAGGGUCCAAGCGUUAAUCGGAAUUACUGGGCGUAAAGCGUGCGCAGGCGGUUUGUUAAGCGAGAUGUG
rnacentral:rRNA from 1 species